AAAAAUUAACAUUUCCGGGUGAACCUCCACUUUAAAGUUUUUUUAUUUUUUAUUUUUUUUUUCUUUCAUUUCAGUGUACGUUGCAAAUCAGUGGGAAUGAAACUCAUUGACAUCAGUGAGUCUGUGCACAGCUGAGCACUAUGUAGAGAUGCGGCCCGCUUCAUCUUUUGAUGCAGUGCCGAGUGACCACAUUAACUCUUAUGAAAGUUACCCUGAAGGGAUGUGUUUCACCAUGGGGCGGUACUGUGGAAAACCUCAAGUCAGGUUUGACCCGUGGUUUUAAAUAGGCAACAAGGGCUUUACAGUUUGAUUGUACAAUUACCUGUAUUUAGUUUUAGAAAUAUCUUUAGGUUUGGGAGUGCAAAUAAUUUAUAAAAACCUGAAGAAGCAUGUAAUUUAGAAAUUAUUUAUUUUGACCCAAUCCAGAGUUCUGUGUUGGUACAGUUCAACAUGUUUCCUCUGACAUGCUGUGAGUUUCUGUGGUCAGAAUCUUAGAUGGGAUCAUCUGAUGAUCUUUCACAUAUGUGUGUAGUCAUUCUUUCAGAAGUUACUGUAAAACAUUAUGUGAAAUGAUCAUAUGAGCAAAACAUUUUAUAAUGUGGGUGACUAGCAUUUUCCUUUUGACUGGGUGCAAAUACCUGGUAAAGUGACAAUGUCACUUCACCCACUCACAGCAAGUGACAGGUUCUCUUUUUAAGAAACCCCCCCCCCCUUUUCUGUCCUCCCUGGAGAUGUUUACCUCUACUAUUUUGUAUUUUUAUUCUUUCUCCCCUUCCUUUGUGUUUUUAUUUACACCUGACUAAGGUUUAUAGUUUUUGUACUGUAACCACAAAAAUUAAUAAAAAAGUUUUCAAUUAAAAAAAAAAGAAAGAAAAUCCUCCCAACUACUGAUGCAUACCUUCCUCGUGUUCCCAUCUGCUCUGUUGGUUACGUCAUCCUGUGUAAGCUCCAUUAUUGAGCUUACACAGGGUUACCUUCUGCCUCCUCCUGGUCUUGUGAUAAUGUUUGGGCCUGGCGGCAGUUUUGGGGCCUUGGUUUACUGCAGUGGCAGGAGGAUGCAUAAAAGAUUAUGACUAUCAGUAUAUUUAUUUUUACAAAAGAGAACCUUGUUGCCCCACAAAGUUGAAUACUGUAUAUAAUAUUUUUUUAUUAUCACUUAAAGUUACAUUUUCAGGCCAAACUUUUGACGGUGUACCGCCUUCUUUUUAGUCCAUGCAGUACUUCAAGUACCUUUUUAAAUUGUCAAAGUGAUGGCUUAUUUUGAAAAUAAAACUGGUCAAUCCAUACUGAAAAAAGUAUGGUAAAAAAUAUAUUAGCUGAACAGUUAAUGGCUAUCUCAGUAUAUAAACCUACAAAUUGUGGUCGAAGAAGAGCAGGGCCAAGACCACUAAGAAGGUUUGAGUGGUGGAUGAAGACAGGGUAAAGACCACUAAGAGGGUUUUGGUGGUAGAAGAAGAGCAGGGUCAAGGCCACUUAGAAGGUAUUGGUGGUAGACGAUGAUGACCACGGUCAAGACCACUAGGAGGGUUUUGGUGGUAGAAGAUGACGACCAGGGUCAAGACCACCAGGAAGCUUUUGGCGGUAGAAGAGGAGUAGGGUCAAGACUACUAUGAAGGUUUUGGUGGUAGAAGAGCAGGGUCAAGACUACUAUGAAGGUUUUGGUGGUAGAAGAAGAGCAGGGUCAAGACUACUAUGAAGGUUUUGGUGGUAGAAGAAGACCAGGGUCAAGACUACUAUGAAGGUUUUGGUGGUAGAAGAAGAGCAGGGUCAAGACUACUAUGAAGGUUUUGGUGGUAGAGCAGGGUCAAGACUACUAUAAAGGUUUUGGUGGUAGAGCAGGGUCAAGACUACUAUGAAGGUUUUGGUGGUAGAAGAAGAGCAGGGUCAAGACUACUAUGAAUGUUUUGGUGGUAGAAGAAGAGCAGGGUCAAGACUACUAUGAAUGUUUUGGUGGUAGAAGAAGAGCAGGGUCAAGACUACUAUGAAGGUUUUGGUGGUAGAAGAAGAGCAGGGUCAAGACUACUAUGAAGGUUUUGGUGGUAGAAGAAGAGCAGGGUCAAGACUACUAUGAAGGUUUUGGUGGUAGAAGAAGAGCAGGGUCAAGACUACUAUGAAGGUUUUGGUGGUAGAAGAAGAGCAGGGUCAAGACUACUAUGAAGGUUUUGGUGGUAGAAGAAGAGCAGGGUCAAGACUACUAUGAAGGUUUUGGUGGUAGAAGAAGAGCAGGGUCAAGACCACCAGGAAGGUUUUGGCGGUAGAACAGUAGGGUCAAAACCACCAAGAAGGUUUGGGUGAUAGAGGAGGGCAGGAUUUAGACCAGGGGUCCUCAAACUAUGGCCCUCCAGUUGUUCAGAUACUACAAUUCCCACCAUGCCUAGUUAUAUCUGUAAAUGUCACAGGUUUACAAUGCCUCAUGGGAUGUGUAGUUCUGCAACAGCUGGAGGGCCGUAGUUUGGUGAUCCCUGAUUUAGACCACAAAGGUUUGGGUCGUAUAAGAAGAGCACGGUUGAGACCACUAAAGACCCCUAAGGUUUGGGUGGUAGAGGAAGGCAGAAUCAGGACCACUAGGAAGGUUUGGGUGGUAGAAGAAGAGCAGGGUUAAGACCACUAAGGUUUGGGUCGUAUAAGAGGAGCAGGGUUGAGACCACUAAGGUUUGGGUCCUAUAAGAAGAGCAGGGUUGAGACCACUAAGGUUUGGGUCGUAUAAGAAGAGCACGGUUGAGACCACUAAAGACUACUAAGGUUUGGGUUAUAGAGGAAGGCAGAAUGGGGACCACUAGGAAGGUUUGGGUGGUAGAAGUAGAGCAGAAGAUUUGUGUGGUGGUGGAGGAAGGUAGGUAGGGCCACUACCACUAAGAAGGCAAGGGCAAUAUUGACAUGAAAAUUUUAAACCCACAAGUAAUUUCAGCUGCCUGUAUGUGUGGAUCUGUUGAUUUUUUU